rnacentral:rRNA from 1 species
UACAGAGGUGGCAAGCGUUGUUCGGAAUUACUGGGCGUAAAGCGCGCGUAGGCGGCUUUGCAAGUCGGGUGUGAAAUCCCCAAGCUUAACCUGGGAACUGCAUUCGAGACUGCAUUGCUAGAGUAUGGGAGAGGGAAGUGGAAUUUCCGGUGUAGCGGUGAAAUGCGUAGAUAUCGGAAGGAACAUCAGUGGCGAAAGCGACUUCCUGGACCAAUACUGACGCUCAUGUGCGAAAGCGUGGGGAGCAAACAGG